rnacentral:rRNA from 1 species
CCUACGGGAGGCAUCAGUGAGGAAUAUUGGUCAAUGGACGAGAGUCUGAACCAGCCAAGUAGCGUGAAGGAUGACUGCCCUAUGGGUUGUAAACUUCUUUUAUAUGGGAAUAAAAUGUUCCACGUGUGGGAUUUUGUAUGUACCAUAUGAAUAAGGAUCGGCUAACUCCGUGCCAGCAGCCGCGGUAAUACGGAGGAUCCGAGCGUUAUCCGGAUUUAUUGGGUUUAAAGGGAGCGUAGGUGGAUUGUUAAGUCAGUUGUGAAAGUUUGCGGCUCAACCGUAAAAUUGCAGUUGAAACUGGCAGUCUUGAGUACAGUAGAGGUGGGCGGAAUUCGUGGUGUAGCGGUGAAAUGCUUAGAUAUCACGAAGAACUCCGAUUGCGAAGGCAGUUCACUGGACUGCAACUGACACUGAGGCUCGAAAGUGUGGGUAUCAAACAGGAUUAGAUACCCGUGUAGUC